rnacentral:rRNA from 1 species
GACGAACGCUGGCGGCGUGCUUAACACAUGCAAGUCGAACGGAAAGGCCCUGCUUGCAGGGUACUCGAGUGGCGAACGGGUGAGUAACACGUGGGUGAUCUGCCCUGCACUUCGGGAUAAGCCUGGGAAACUGGGUCUAAUACCGGAUAUGACCUUCCAUGUAGUGUGGGGGGUGGAAAGAUUUAUCGGUGUGGGAUGAGCCCGCGGCCUAUCAGCUUGUUGGUGGGGUAAUGGCCUACCAAGGCGUCGACGGGUAGCCGGCCUGAGAGGGUGGACGGCCACAUUGGGACUGAGAUACGGCCCAGACUCCUACGGGAGGCAGCAGUGGGGAAUAUUGCACAAUGGGCGGAAUCCUUAUGCAGCGACGCCGCGUGGGGGAUGACGGCCUUCGGGUUGUAAACCUCUUUCGACAGGGACGAAGCUUCGGUGACGGUACCUGUAUAAGAAGCACCGGCUAACUACGUG